CCUACGGGAGGCAGCAGUGAGGAAUAUUGGUCAAUGGACGAGAGUCUGAACCAGCCAAGUAGCGUGAAGGAUGACUGCCCUAUGGGUUGUAAACUUCUUUUAUAUGGGAAUAAAAUGUUCCACGUGUGGGAUUUUGUGUGUACCAGAUGAAUAAGGAUCGGCUAACUCCGUGCCAGCAGCCGCGGUAAUACGGAGGAUCCGAGCGUUAUCCGGAUUUAUUGGGUUUAAAGGGAGCGUAGGUGGAUUGUUAAGUCAGUCGUGAAAUUUGGCGGCUCAACCGUAGAAUUGCAGUUGAAACUGGCAGUCUUGAGUGCGGUAGAGGUGGGCGGAAUGCGUGGUGUAGCGGUGAAAUGCUUAGAUAUCACGAAGAACUCCGAUCGCGAAGGCAGCUGACUGGACUGCAACUGACACUGAGGCUCGAAAGUGUGGGUAUCAAACAGGAUUAGAUACCCUUGUAGUC
rnacentral:rRNA from 1 species